rnacentral:rRNA from 1 species
GAUGAACGCUGGCGGCGUGCCUAAUACAUGCAAGUCGAGCGAACGGACGAGAAGCUUGCUUCUCUGAUGUUAGCGGCGGACGGGUGAGAAACACGUGGAUAACCUACCUAUAAGACUGGGAUAACUUCGGGAAACCGUAGCUAAUACCGGAUAAUAUUUUGAACCGCAUGGUUCAAAAGUGAAAGACGGUCUUGCUGUCACUUAUAGAUGGAUCCGCGCUGCAUUAGCUAGUUGGUAAGGUAACGGCUUACCAAGGCAACGAUGCAUAGCCGACCUGAGAGGGUGAUAGGCCACACUGGAACUGAGACACGGUCCAGACUCCUACGGGAGGCAGCAGUAGGGAAUCUUCCGCAAUGGGCGAAAGCCUGACGGAGCAACGCCGCGUGAGUGAUGAAGGUCUUCGGAUCGUAAAACUCUGUUAUUAGGGAAGAACAUAUGUGUAAGUAACUGUGCACAUCUUGACGGUACCUAAUCAGAAAGCCACGGCUAACUACGUG